rnacentral:rRNA from 1 species
CCUACGGGAGGCAGCAGUAGGGAAUCUUCCACAAUGGGCGAAAGCCUGAUGGAGCAACGCCGCGUGGGUGAAGAAGGUCGUCGGAUCGUAAAACCCUGUUGUUAGAGAAGAAAGUGCGUGAGAGUAACUGUUCACGUUUCGACGGUAUCUAACAAGAAAGCCACGGCUAACUACGUGCCAGCAGCCGAGGUAAUACGAAGGUGGCAAGCGUUAUACGGAUUGAUUGGGCGUAAAGGGAACGCAGGCGGUCUUUUAAGUCUGAUGUGAAAGCCUUCGGCUUAACCGGAGUAGUGCAUUGGAAUCUGGUAGACUUGAGUGCAGAAGAGGAGAGUGGAACUCCAUGUGUAGCGGUGAAAUGCGUAGAUAUAUGGAAGAACACCAGUGGCGAAAGCGGCUCUCUGGUCUGUAACUGACGCUGAGGUUCGAAAGCGUGGGUAGCAAACAGGAUUAGAUACCCCUGUAGUC